rnacentral:rRNA from 1 species
GACGAACGCUGGCGGUGUGCUUAACACAUGCAAGUCGAACGAUGAAGCCGGAGCUUGCUCUGGUGAAUUAGUGGCGAACGGGUGAGUAACACGUGAGUAACCUGCCCUUGACUCUGGGAUAACUGCGGGAAACUGUAGCUAAUACCGGAUACGACCCUCGGAGGCAUCUCCUGGGGGUGGAAAGAAUUUCGGUCAAGGAUGGACUCACGGCCUAUCAGCUAGUUGGUGAGGUAAAGGCUCACCAAGGCGACGACGGGUAGCCGGCCUGAGAGGGUGACCGGCCACACUGGGACUGAGACACGGCCCAGACUCCUACGGGAGGCAGCAGUGGGGAAUAUUGCACAAUGGGCGCAAGCCUGAUGCAGCAACGCCGCGUGAGGGAUGACGGCCUUCGGGUUGUAAACCUCUUUUAGCAGGGAAGAAGCGAAAGUGACGGUACCUGCAGAAAAAGCACCGGCUAACUACGUGCCAGCAGCCGCCGUAA